GAGCAAGUACGGACCUCUCCUCGCAGGCUCCGGUGGGAAAGGCUCCUGGAAGGGCGCGAGCCAGGAAAGUAGAUGAAGUGAAGAGAUGAAGACUGCGUGGGGUAGUUGUUGGAAAAGCUCGGAUCAUCCCCAACCCAGCCCCGUCUUGUCCGGCCCCAAAAGGCCCAUCUCGGCCGAGCUACUCACACUUUGUACGGCAGCCGUGGGUCCGACGUCAGCGUGAUCUUAAAGGAAACCUUCGACCUGAGGAAAAGAGCGGGAGAGAGUCAGGGUCGGGCAGCUGGACCAGGAAUUAUGGCAGUCGAUUGAUGUCAGAGUGGGAUUCAAAGUAGAACUUCAGUGACUCCAAGGAGCACCAAGUCACCAAAAGUUGGCCUUCUGUAUCCAUGAGUUCCAUAUGAGUGGAUUCAACCAACUGUAGAUUGCCAAAAGAUAAAAACAAGCAAGAAAGCAAACAAAUAAAAGUAACAACAAAAUUUAAGAACCCCUUGCAUGGAAGGAUGCUUAUUUCCUCUGGACUGAAAGAUGGCAUCAGAAGUGGGAUCUAAAGUAAAGCUUCUAACAAUCCCCAUGAGCACUGAGUGACCAAGCAAGGUACACGCCAGGCCUGUUCUGUCUGUUGCUCUCACAGAGGAGCUGGGGAUCGUGGAGGUUCAUGACAGGAUGAAAAGAAACCUGAGAAGCACUCUUGAAGAGAGGUUUCUGAAUAACUUUCGAAUCAUAUCAUUUGGACUGGAUGACAGAAACUUCAUCUGCAUUGGCUUCGGCAAAGCAGAAAUUUAUUAGCUUACAAGGCCCCAUCUUGUCCAUGCACCUGUCUGCUUCCUUGGCUUCAGAGCAUUGCCUCCAAGUCCUCUACAGCACAACUUUCCCUUCAGCAUCCAACCUUAUGAUGUACUGGGAUAUUGUGUUGCCCCUCUCCCCUCUCUACCUGUGCUGGGCUUUAAGGCUGACACACCUAUAAACCCCAGGAGUGGAGGGAAGGGAGAGUGGAUUGUCAUUGAGACAUAUGUUCUGCUUACGUGGAGAGUAACUUGAGCAACGUUACCCACCUCUAUGUGGAAACACAGGUUUAUUUAGUAUGUUGAAAUUCCAGACAUAACUAUCUGUUCAGUAGCAGUGGUUCCUAUAAGACAACAACUUCACUGUUCAUUUUGUGCUAGUAGAAUGGAACUUCACGGACCUUGGAGAAGCAUACUCCAAACACUACAAAUGAUGGUUAUACUUUGGAGAGAUGCUAAGACAGCAGAUGCUAAAAUCCAGAUACCUUUUGUGAAUAUGAGGCAUAUCUACUGGGAACACAUCAUAAUAAUCUGUUGAGGUAAACAUUAAAGAUGGUGGCAAUAAGCAGUUGGAGAAAAAGAAAAAUAUCAACAUGCAAGGCA
rnacentral:lncRNA from 1 species